GUAGCUAUGGCGGAAUUGGCAGACGCGCUAGUUUCAGAAACUAGUGAAUAAAAUUCUUUUUGAGUUCGAAUCUCAAUAGCUACACCA
rnacentral:tRNA from 1 species